GUGCAGACCUCUCCAGUGAGGCUCGGCCUGUAGUGGCUCUGAUCUCUGUUGUUGUCUCUGCUAGAGAGAUGUGGGGCUGUUUGAGGCCCUGCUGUGGCUCUACACCGCAGGGUUAUAGGUAAACCUCCAACAUGG